GGAUAAUUUUUUUACCUAAUUAUGGCCCUUUGUUUUUUUUCCUUAUAUAGAAUAUAUAGUGAACAAUUUCUUCUGUGCGCAACUCCUCCUACAUUUCUCAACGGAUUUUGACCAAACUUUCACAGAAGCUUUGUCAUCAAGUGCCCUGGCGCAUAUUGCCAGGGUUUUGCGAUUAGAUAAUAUUUGACCUAAUUAUGGCCCUUUGUUUUUUUUCCUUAUAUAAAAUAUAUAGUGAACAAUUUCUUCUGUGCGCAACUCCUCCUACAUUUCUCAAUGGAUUUUGACCAAACUUUCUCGGAAGCUUUGUCAUCAAGUGCCCUGACACAUAUUGCCAGGGUUUUGUUAUUGUUAUAUAUUUGACCUAAUUAUGGCCCUUUGUUUUUUUUCCUUAUAUAGAAUAUAUAGUGAACAAUUUCUUCUGUGCGCAACUCCUCCUACAUUUCUCAACGAAUUUUGACCAAACUUUCUUAGAAGCUUUGUUAUCAAGUGCCUGGCACAUAUUGUCGGGGUUUUGUGAUUGGAUAAUAUUUGACCUAAUUAUGGCCCUUUGUAUAUUUUUUCCUUAUACAGAAUAUAUAGAGAACAAUUUCUUCUGUGCUCAACUCCUCCUACAUUUCUCAACGGAUUUUGACCAAACUUUCUUAGAAGCUUUGUUUUCAAGUACCUGGCACAUAUUGUCGGGGUUUUGUGAUUGGAUAAUAUUUGACCGAAUUAUGGCCCUUUGUAUAUUUUUUCCUUAUACAGAAUAUAUAGUGAACAAUUUCUACAGUGCGCAACUUCUCCUACAUUUCUCAAUGGAUUUUGACCAAACUUUCACAGAAGCUUUGUCAUCAAGUGCCCUGGCGCUCACUAAAUUCCCAUGUUUCUUCCAAGACAUCAGUCAAGUAUUUUUUUAAAAUUGUGAACAUACUUUUCUUGAUAUCGCACAAAACACCACACGCCAAUAUUGUUGACAAAAGAAAAUGACAAGAGACGCAAAAAUGCAAAAAUUAAGCAAAAAUAAAGUACUGUUUACCUUUCUAAAACAUUUGGGGAAAAAAGGCGAAUAGACAACAUAAAAUUUCUCAAUCAUUUUUGUUUGAGGAAUAUUAAAAAAGCCAUAAUUCCUCCUAAAAGUUCAAUUAAAAACAAAUGCCCCUUCAUGACAAAGCUUCUGUGAAAUAUUUUGCUGAAAACCUGGUUGCAUCGCAUUGCGAUGUUCCUUGUUAACUAUAGAACAAUAGUAACCAAAAGUGUCGGUAAAUUUAAUUGCGCCGAUUACGCCCUUUAUAUAUGUGAUAAUCAAACAGUUUAAAGCAAUCAAUUAACAAAAAAGGUAUAGCUGUGAAAACAAAUCCUUUUAAUAAGUUGGAAGUAUCUUUCAUGUCUUUAUUCGAUGUAAAUUAAAGAUGGUUUCGUGAGUGUUAAUGCGAUAAUUAGGAAGAAAUGCAUAGAAUUAAACAGGUUGCCGCAAUCGAUGUCAUGAAAUCUGCUGCUUCUAUCGUCUCUGAAGCAUCGGAUGGUGUUGAAGGACUGGUGAACGUGGGUGAAUUGCGACCUGAUUACGUAGCAAGGGUCGUCAACCGCUAUCGGCAAGAGUUAAGACCAGAUGAGCCUGUAGAUAUGGAUUUUGAGUUGGAUGUGAAUGCUAUCCCGCAUGACUUCUAUCGUAGAGAGGUUAAGGUUGAAGACAGACGUCACCUUAUUUUCGCGACGGACAACUAGCUAGAUGUAUUAUCUCAGGCACGUCGCUGCUACAUUGACGGUACUUUUAAGGUGAUGCGGGCUCCGUUUACGACGUUGUUGUCAAUCCACGCAUUUGUCAGACGCGGAGACUGUUCGAAACAAGUGCCGUUGGUUUUUGUAGCCAUGUCAGGACGUAACAGUCAAGACUACGAGAAAG